UUUUAAUGUGAAGGUUCAAAAUAUUAACUGCUUGAAAUGAGGUGGCCAUUUCAUCAAGAGAUUAGAAAUUCUAUUCACACUGGCAAAAAUAUGCUUACUGGACAACUGUUGUCUAAUUUCUGUGACCUUAUUUAGUUUCAGUUUGUGUUGUCUGCGGCACAGACACUCAUUUCAAAGGCAGGGCUGCGUCAACGAUGCGCGUCAAUAAUUAGGCUGAUGGAAAUAGCAAACUUUGGGCGCGGUCUCCUCGAUCCUGUCAUGCUCAACUUUUUCACCCUCUAAACCUGGUAAUAUUACCCUACCCUGAGAUCCUUGCCCUCAAGAUUCAUCAAUAGCUUCUGUAAUAAUCGUGUAGCAGUGUCCAGCUCAGUGCCAAGGCGAAGGGAAGCCCCAAUCACCAAGAUGGCGGAGAAGCUUCUGUAUUGUCGUCUUGGCAUCACAGAAGAGGGUGUUCCAAGGCCGUCUGCCAUCCAUUGCCAUCGAUGCAUUGCGCGCCCUCUUCCAACUUGACUGUGACCUCUCCACAGCCAUCGAAGAUGCUCCUGUUGCCCAUGGAGUGAUCUGGACCGCCAAAGACACACAGAUGGUUGUGGUUUCCGCUGUGGUCGAGUUCCCUGAUCGUAGCUUAGUCUUUUGUGAGAUGUGUGUUGAGAUGCUGCUUGCUGUACCAACCAGCAGUCUGCUUCUCGUGAUGUUCCCCUUGCUGUACCAACCAGCAGUUUGUUUACCCUGUUGGGCAACUGUAGGGGUUGUGAAAUGUAGGUAACGUCUCUAAAUGAUGACUAUGAUGUUUA